rnacentral:rRNA from 1 species
CCUACGGGUGGCAGCAGUGAGGAAUAUUGGUCAAUGGGCUAAGGCCUGAACCAGCCAAGUCGCGUGAGGGAAGACGGUCCUAUGGAUUGUAAACCUCUUUUGUCGGGGAGCAACGAGGCCACGUGUGGCCGAAGUGAGAGUACCCGAAGAAAAAGCAUCGGCUAACUCCGUGCCAGCAGCCGCGGUAAUACGGAGGAUGCGAGCGUUAUCCGGAUUUAUUGGGUUUAAAGGGUGCGUAGGCGGAACAUUAAGUCAGCGGUAAAAUCGAGGGGCUCAACCCCUUUAAGCCGUUGAAACUGGUGAUCGUGAGUGGGCGAGAAGUAUGCGGAAUGCGUGGUGUAGCGGUGAAAUGCAUAGAUAUCACGCAGAACUCCGAUUGCGAAGGCAGCUCACUGGACUGCAACUGACACUGAGGCUCGAAAGUGUGGGUAUCAAACAGGAUUAGAAACCCGUGUAGUC